UACAGAGGGUGCGAGCGUUGUCCGGAAUCACUGGGCGUAAAGGGCGCGUAGGUGGCGGGAUAAGCGUGUGGUGAAAGCCCGGGGCUCAACCCCGUGUCUGCCAUGCGGACUGUCUUGCUCGAGCGUAGUAGAGGCAGGUGGAAUUCCGGGUGUAGCGGUGGAAUGCGUAGAGAUCCGGAAGAACACCAGUGGCGAAGGCGGCUCACUGGCCCGAUACUGACGCUGAGGCACGAAAGCGUGGGGAGCAAACAGG
rnacentral:rRNA from 1 species